rnacentral:rRNA from 1 species
AAGGAAUAUUGGGCAAUGGAGGCAACUCUGACCCAGCCAUGCCGCGUGCAGGAUGAAGGUCCUCUGGAUUGUAAACUGCUUUUAUUGGUGAAUAAACCUAGGGAUUCAUCCCUAGCUGAAGGUAGCCAAGGAAUAAGCACCGGCUAACUCCGUGCCAGCAGCCGCGGUAAUACGGAGGGUGCAAGCGUUAUCCGGAUUUACUGGGUUUAAAGGGAGCGUAGGCGGAUCUUUAAGUGAGUGGUGAAAUCCUAGAGCUUAACUCUAGAACUGCCAUUCAUACUAUUGAUCUUGAAUUCGGUUGAGGUAGCUGGAAUGUGUCAUGUAGCGGUGAAAUGCUUAGAUAUGACACAGAACACCAAUUGCGAAGGCAGGUUGCUAAACCGACAUUGACGCUGAGGCUCGAAAGCGUGGGGAUCAAAC